UACGAAGGGGGCUAGCGUUGCUCGGAAUUACUGGGCGUAAAGGGCGCGUAGGCGGACAUUUAAGUUAGAGGUGAAAGCCCAGGGCUCAACCCUGGAAUAGCCUUUAAUACUGGAUGUCUUGAGUUCGGAGAGGUGAGUGAAUGCCGAGUGUAGAGGUGAAAUUCGUAGAUAUUCGGCGGAACACCAGUGCGAAGCGACUCACUGCCGAUACUGACGCUGAGCGCGAAAGCGUGGGAGCAACAG
rnacentral:rRNA from 1 species